rnacentral:rRNA from 1 species
CCUACGGGAGACUGCAGUAGGGAAUAUUGCUCAAUGGGCGAAAGCCUGACGCAGCAACGCCGCGUGGAGGAUGAAGGCCUUAGGAUUGUAAAGCUCUUUUGUGAGAGAAGAUAAUGACGCUAUCCCUCGACUAAGCACUGGAUAAUUCCGUGCCAGCAGCCGCGGUCAUACGGCGGGUGAAAGCGUUACUCGGAAUCACUGGGCGUAAAGCGUGCGCAGGUGGGCUUGUAAGUCAGAUGUGAAAUACUGGAGCUUAACUUCAGAACUGCAUUUGAAACUAUGAGUCUAGAGUGUGGGAGAGGUAGGUGGAAUUCGUGGUGUAGCGGUAAAAUGCGUAGAUAUCAAGAGGAAUACUGAUUGCGAAGGCGACCUACUGGAACAUUACUGACGCUCAUGCACGAAAGCGUGGGGAGCAAACAGGAUUAGAUACCCGAGUAGUC